AGAGUUUGAUCCUGGCUCAGGACGAACGCUGGCGGCGUGCUUAACACAUGCAAGUCGAACGCUGAAGCCUAGCUUGCUGGGUGGAUGAGUGGCGAACGGGUGAGUAACACGUGAGUAACCUGCCCUCUUCUUUGGGAUAACGCCCGGAAACGGGUGCUAAUACUGGAUAUUCACUGAUCUUCGCAUGGGGGUUGGUGGAAAGGUUUUUUCUGGUGGGGGAUGGGCUCGCGGCCUAUCAGCUUGUUGGUGGGGUGAUGGCCUACCAAGGCUUUGACGGGUAGCCGGCCUGAGAGGGUGACCGGUCACAUUGGGACUGAGAUACGGCCCAGACUCCUACGGGAGGCAGCAGUGGGGAAUAUUGCACAAUGGGCGAAAGCCUGAUGCAGCGACGCCGCGUGAGGGAUGAAGGCCUUCGGGUUGUAAACCUCUUUCGCUCAUGGUCAAGCCGCAACUUUGGGUUGUGGUGAGGGUAGUGGGUAAAGAAGCACCGGCUAACUACGUGCCAGCAGCCGCGGUAAUACGUAGGGUGCGAGCGUUGUCCGGAAUUAUUGGGCGUAAAGGGCUUGUAGGCGGUUUGUCGCGUCUGCCGUGAAAUCCUCUGGCUUAACUGGGGGCGUGCGGUGGGUACGGGCAGACUUGAGUGCGGUAGGGGAGACUGGAACUCCUGGUGUAGCGGUGGAAUGCGCAGAUAUCAGGAAGAACACCGGUGGCGAAGGCGGGUCUCUGGGCCGUUACUGACGCUGAGGAGCGAAAGCGUGGGGAGCGAACAGGAUUAGAUACCCUGGUAGUCCACGCUGUAAACGUUGGGCACUAGGUGUGGGGGCCACCCGUGGUUUCUGCGCCGUAGCUAACGCUUUAAGUGCCCCGCCUGGGGAGUACGGCCGCAAGGCUAAAACUCAAAGGAAUUGACGGGGGCCC
rnacentral:rRNA from 1 species